GGAAGGUCAGAGCUCAGUGGCAGAGCUCCUGCCUCUCACACAGGAAGUCCCAGGUUCAGCCCCCGGCUUCUCCA